rnacentral:rRNA from 1 species
AUUGAACGCUGGCGGCAGGCCUAACACAUGCAAGUCGAACGGUAACAGGAAGAAGCUUGCUUCUUUGCUGACGAGUGGCGGACGGGUGAGUAAUGUCUGGGAAACUGCCUGAUGGAGGGGGAUAACUACUGGAAACGGUAGCUAAUACCGCAUAACGUCGCAAGCCCAAAGAGGGGGACCUUCGGGCCUCUUGCCAUCGGAUGUGCCCAGAUGGGAUUAGCUAGUAGGUGGGGUAACGGCUCACCUAGGCGACGAUCCCUAGCUGGUCUGAGAGGAUGACCAGCCACACUGGAACUGAGACACGGUCCAGACUCCUACGGGAGGCAGCAGUGGGGAAUAUUGCACAAUGGGCGCAAGCCUGAUGCAGCCAUGCCGCGUGUAUGAAGAAGGCCUUCGGGUUGUAAAGUACUUUCAGCGGGGAGGAAGGGAGUAAAGUUAAUACCUUUGCUCAUUGACGUUACCCGCAGAAGAAGCACCGGCUAACUCCGU